UCUUAUCCUUUAUUUGAGAUACAGCGGGAUUUUGCCACUCUCCUCGAAUUCUUACCUUUUGUCCUGCGUUACACUCCGGGGAAAGGAAUUCUGGGAUCGUGUGUUAUGCUGAUACAAAAAUUUUUUAAGUAGUAAAGAAGUUGUAAAACAAUGGAUACAAGUAUAUAUGUAUGUGUCUUGUGUAUAGACAUACAGAUUCAGGGUUUCAUCUCAGAGUGCUACUCGGUGUAUUUUCUGUGCACGUCCUUCUAUACUUCAAUCUCGUGGUAUCCCAGGGACCAUGUUUUUCCUUUCCCCACCAUACAGAAUACAAGAAAUGAAGAUUCUGAAAAAGAAGGUGAUGACCAAGAUAAGGGAUAGAAAGAUGACUUGUUUGCUUGAAGAGAGAUACCAAUUACUUUAGGAACUAAGAAAAGAUAUCGCCAAUUUGGAAGAAACCACAUUAUAAAAUGUACCUUUUCCAUUUGAUGAAAAUAAAUCUGCAGCAGCAAGUCAAGUUAAAGCCCAAACAGAACCCUGGAGGGAUCCUUUCCUGAGAAUCAACCUUACAACCAACAACUACUCUCCACACGCCAAGACCCAGAUCUGAUGGAAGAAAUCCCAGUUAUCAGCCUCCAAGGGUGAUUCAUUGAUAAGGAGACCGAUGCUUUGAUGGACACACAGUUUGGAGAGACCUUAACUCUUGCUCGUCUCAAUGUUCAUCCUCCACACACCGGCAUCAGGAGCAACUGGAAGAAGGCAACACGUCAACCCGGUCAUUCUUUGCCACUAGAUGGACUGUACUAGGAUCUGAGGGCAUUACCUAUGCAGUGUUCUUGCUGAAACUGUUUAGCCUGAGUUUCAUCAUGAGGUAGUUAUCAGAUGACUGCAGAAUUUAGGCCAUUGAACAAGACAAGUGGCCUUUCUUCAAACAGUCAACGUCUCCACAAAUAAGACAACAAAAAGGAGAAUAGGUGUUUUGGAUUCCCAAGGACUAAAAAGAUUGUGUCAGUAUAUUUCUUUAGUCCUUUGGAACCCAAAACCUCUCCUCAGCUUUCUGUGGUUGUCUUCAAUGGUGGUGACAUUGACUUGCUUGCUGAGGACAGGUCAGUUGUCUGGCUCAAGGGUCUACAUUUUGCAGUUGUCUGAUCAUUUCCUCAAGGGUUCAGCUGAAGCCUUUUUGCCAAGAACACCACUUACUGCAUGCUGUGUGCUUCCAAGCACAGCCCCUUUGGAGACUAAGAGUGUCCACUUUGCCUGUCACCACUAUUGUCAUUUUAGCAUUGGACACUUUGUUAUGCAGGGGCCAUGAGAUCCGUUCACUGGAAAGACAUGUUUUCUGUCUAUAAUCAGUAACUUGAUUAGCGGUACUUUGAGAGUUUAUGAAUAUCUUGUUCCGUGAUGCUCGUUCUCUAAAUAUUUUACCAUCCCUUAUUGUUCCCUCAUGUAUGUCAAUUAUCAUACUUGUGUUUGUACCCUGGACAUUUUCUAAUUCAAUCAUUCUGUAAACUUGUAUUCCUGGCCUUGUGCUGUGGGAAAGACAAUCCAUACCCCUUCCAUAUCAUUAAAAGUGUUUUUGAGUUUCA